UCUGUCGGGCUUGGACCUUGCUUUGUGCUCUGUCGAGGGCAGGACACAUUUGCCAGUGUGCGUUUCUACCCCACCAGCCCAAAUGCACCAUGAAGGGCAUCAGGUCUUAUAUUAUGGUUGGUAAAGUGAUGUCAUCAAGAGUCUUUUAUCUUCACAUCGGAGAUUCUGCUUUUGUAGAAUGGAGGUUACUCUAUUCGGUGUGCAUAUAUUAAGGAGGGAGGCCCUCGGAAUGUUGGAGAUUUAUUUUGCAAAUGGUCUUAUCCAUGUUUGAAAUCUCAUGAAAGGAGGGAACCCAGGAAGGAAUUCACCAAAUUUCUCUUCCUUUUCUUCACACAUCUUUACAGUCUUGUCGAGACUAUUAUUUCAUGGUUUUGUAGUUGACAAGGAACUUUCCCACUCAUGUUUUCACACAAGCAUUACAACCGUACCCUGUGGGAAAAACAAGGUUAGGAUUAUCGUCUCAUUUUACAGGUGUAGAAACUAAGCUCAGAGGUUUGCCCAACAGAGCUAGAACUAAGUAGUGGGUCUUCGAGGCCCCCAGUUCAUUAUCGUUGCCAUGACACUGGCUGGCACACCUUGACUGGGUUGAUGUCUAGCCUGCCUCUCACUGUGGGCUGACACCCGGGGCUUACCUCCCAAUUAGAACAGCCCCAACACGAUGCUAACUCCCUUCCCUCGUCAAAACCCAACGGCCAGCUUCCUGUGCUUCUCGUUCUAGGACACAGCACUGGACUCUGGAGGAGCCUGGAACGAUCCCAUAAAGCUUUUCCAGAGCCCCAUGAAGUGGGGGGUAUGAUCUUGUUUGAAACAGAGGGGAAGCUGAGGCCUUGUCUCCUGGAACUAAGUGACAUUUUGACAAGAAGCCACGCUUCCUGUGCUCAAGAGGCUAUGCACUCAGAUAUUCUCCUCGCGGGGCCCUUGUCAUUCUAUCUGUACCUGUGCCUGAAGCCUCAUAAAGAAAGAAGAGAGCCGGACAGAAGAUGGUCAUGGUCAUGGGGUAGAUUAUUAUGGUCGUUGUAACAGAGAUGUGUGCAAGAUGAACAAGAAGGGGAUCUGGCAAUAAUGUAUGAGCCCUGAUCGAAGGACAAGAUUCCAUGCACUUCUCCAGCUACUCAAGUAGGCGGUCCCUUUCCCCACUUACUGCUUCAGGGAUGUUUCUCCGAUGCUUGGACAUGGAGGGUGACCUUCCUCAGUCGACAGCCAUCAGGCACUUCCCCACUGGAACUUCUAAACCAGCCCUUGAGUUCUUGAAUGCCUUUCGGACUGAAACUCUGCCUUCUCGCUCCAGUGCCCUCUUCACGUCUGCAUCUGACAUCCUGAGACUGCUGCCCGAUGUCACCACCAUUGCCUGACUAUGGCAGACACCUCCCUUACCAUGCCCCUUCCUAAUCACAUGCCAGGACCACCACCUGUCUCCACACCCUGCACAUCCUAUGCCUCAUUUAGCACAGCCCUCUUCUGCCCUCCGUAACUCUUUCUGUAAGAUUAUCCCGAUGUCUCCUCCAGCAACCUCUGUAAUUAGGAGCCAGUUACCAGCAAUCUUCACGCUCAGACUGUUUAUUUACAUCAAAGUCUAGCCAUCGGUCUCACCUUAAUUUUUGUUUUUAGCUGUUUCGUCUCAAGAAAAUCAACCAUUCUUGACACUGAAGACACUGUCAUUUUUCACUUAGCUUUUCUCUAGAGCCAUAAAAUAAAAGCUCUGAUUGUAUAAUCAAAGAGAGCAGGAGAUGGGGAGGUGGGUCCCAAAGCACUGGGAUAAAUACAUUUGACAUUUAUUGAGUGUUUAAGUUAUGCUAGGCACUCCGCUACAUGUUUGUUUACAUUUUAUCAUCGAUCCUUUGCAAAACUCUAUGAAAUUGGUGCUUAUUAUAACCUCUUUGUAAAUGAGGAAAUGGCGGCAUCCAAUAUUAAGUAAUUUGAUGGGGUCACACAACUAACAAGUGGCAGAGUCAGUUCUCUGUGUGCUUCGGUUCUAACCAGCAAUGUUCUAACUACUUUACUUCUCCUUUCUGAGUCUUGGUUUCCUUACUGUAAAAUAAGGGGGUAGAAUGGAUCAGAGGACUUCCAAAGUCUCUUUCAUAUCAAGAAGAAUGGAAACCCAUCCGUGCAGGUCAGAGUUCAAGGUGGAAAGCGUCUCCCUUGCCCUCUGCUUCUUGCGGAUCUCUCUGAAGGAGGAACACUAUUGUAAUCGGGUCUGAAGGUUUGUUCUGUGAAGGGGGGAGCUGGCUCAGUCUUGGGGGGACCCAAAGCAACAGAUCCCAGAAGGUAAUCACAUUCGACUCCGCAACAACUUUCCACCAACUGCAACAAAUUUAGUCUUAUGCAUAUGAGGAGUCUAAUAAUUUUUAUGAGUGAAUAGAGAGUUUGGAAUUUAGAAAAUGUGUAGCCAAGAGUGGUCUGAAGACAGACACAAACUCUGGCUUGGAUUUAAACUCAAGUUUCAACAAUGCUGAGUAAUGAGGCCAAUGGACUCCCCCCUCCCCCCCCCAAAAUCGUAGAGUGGGAACGGCUUGAAAGAUAUUACCCAAUACCUCUAUUGUACAUAUGAGUGAAUUGAGGCCGGGAGAGGGUAAAGAGUUGCCCGGUGACUCAAUCAUGGGACAGUACCCCCCAGCUGUUAUCAUCAUCCCUUGUCAUAGUUAGAAAAACUUAAAGGUGCUAAGCUUAAUUAUUGAUGCGUUUACCUUAAGUACUGCAUUUCACACAAAAAAGAGGAAGGACUGAAAUCUGGAUUGCAGCACCACCUGCUCCCCAUGAAGAUUAAACACCCACAGGGUACCUCUUCCAGUUGAGGCUCUGAAGGAAGGCCCUUCAUCUCAAAGGCAUUCAUUCAGAUGGCACUGUGUUUCUUUGCAAUCUCAGCGUAGGCCUUUGUUUUCCUCAGGACUUAGAAGGAUAUAUUUAAGUGUUAAACUCACUGAAGUUGCUCAGCUCUGUCCAAUAAAAGGAUUGGCCAAGAUCAAAUUAGCAUUCCAUCAAGUACUUUAAAUACAAUACAAGCUACUGGAACCCUGACGACAGGAGGUCUCAGAACUGAUAAUGUAUUGAAUUGCCCUUCAAAUUAAAAUUCUCCCAUGCUUAGGAGGGAAGUAGGAGCGGAGA